AAUCAAUCUCAAGGAAGCUCUUUGGGAGCCAGGAUUCCCAGCACUUAGCUGGUGGGCAAAGGGGUUCAACCCCUUCCCCACACCCCACCUUCCCUCCUCCCAGUCUUCGGGAUUGCGGAGCUCCUGCCGGGAUCCAAGAGCAGGCUCUUGGAGGUCGAAGAAGGAUAUAACCUCCAGACCUGGAAUUUAAGACGCAAGAACCAGCCAGCAAAAGUGGCAGCCGAGCAUGCGAUUGUGUCAUACACUGAAGGAGAACAUAGAGUUCUGAGUCCUCAAUAGACACAUGUCAAGUACUACCUUGGAAACUGGGAAGAAACAACUUUGGACUUGACUUUGGUUUUAGGACCUUAUCGUGUGGGCAGGGGACUGCUGAUGGCUUUUUAUUAGGAAGCUAUGCAACUUGAGGUUCUACUGAAAAGGAGAAGAGGCCACUGGAGAUGGGAAGCCACGAAAACACAGAUAAACAAGAAAGACCAUCUGAAUGUGUGCAAAGGAGGGAAAGAUGAGGAAGAGGCAGAUGAUGGACCGGUUUCAAUGACAGCCAGAAUCUCUUUCACUACUUGUGUCCCAUGCUGAGAAGAAGGAGGCUGGAUGGAGAGAGCUUCAGUGUUUUGGGUAGAGCUGGUUGACUAGAGAGGAGAUGAAGAUGUAGAAGUCUCAGCUCCUUCAAUGCUAUGUCUGCCAAGAUGCUGCCACACUCCCUUCUUGAUGAUAAUGGACUGAACCUCUGAACCUGUAAGUCACUCCCAAUUAAAUGUUGUCCCUUAUAAGA
rnacentral:lncRNA from 1 species